CCGUGUGCACCUGUGCGGUGUGUUUCCCUGCCGCAGCCCCGCGCCAGCUGCAGCUCCUUGAUCCGAGCCGGACCCUGAGCGGGGAACACAGGCUGAAGCGGAGGCGGCGGCCCCGCCCCAGGGCUCCAUUGUUGAGGCUGCCGCGGCUCUGUCGGCUGCUCAGCUGCGCUCCAGUCGGCCCAGGCGCCGCGGCGAGGAGCGAGCGCUGCGAAGCGGCGGCUUGAGUGCAGAAGCACCAUCCUAGAAGCAGAGAUGCAGAGGCAGCACUGGUGACUCACACAUGGAGAGCUGGAGUUCUUGGUCUAGUGGGAUCAACUGACCUGGACAUCAUUUCAGUGCAGCGGAGUGAGUGCUGGGAUGGGCUCCCUCGGGGCAUCUGGGGCUGGGUUUGUCUGGUGUUUAGUCUCCUGCCUGGUACUUAGGAUUUAUCAGUAAGAUGAGCAUUGGGAGGCUUCUAAGUGAAAAGAAAGGCAAUCACUUACCUGAAACCUAAAAUUUGUAGGUGUUCUGGGCCAUUUAUAAUUCACUGAAUCUGUUUUGUCAGAACAAGUCUAUCAUUUAUUGUUUUGGAUGGAGUGUGGCCAGCCCUGCCUUGCGAUGUAAGGAAAUCAGGAAACGCUUGUCAGGUGUCAACACUGUGCCAGACACUCUUCUAGGGGUUUCCAUGUGAAUCACUGUAUUCAUUUCUGUUGCCGCUUUACCACAUUUCCACAAAUUUAGUGACUUAAAACAAUUGAAAUUGUAUCAUCUCACAGUUCUAUGGGGCAGAAGGCUGACGUGGAUGUGACUGGACAAAAAUCACCAUGUGGGCUGGGCUGCAUUCCUCACUGGAGAAUUGUUUCCAAGUGCUUUUGGCCAAAUAUAGUUCCUUGUGGUUGCAGGACUGAGGUGUCUGUUCCCUUGCUCUCCAUCUGUUGGGAGCUGCCCUCAGCUCCUGAGGCCUCUAUCUGGUCUUUGCACGUGGUCCCAUCAGCUCAGGACUAGGUAGGCCAGGGACCUGGUCAGGCUCUCCAGUUCCCCUGUGUGCAUUUCUCUUCUUGCACUCGGAGAAAGUUCUCUUCCCUAUUUUAAAAUAUUU